rnacentral:tRNA from 1 species
GAGAAUGUGACUCAGUGGUAGAGUGCUUGCCUUGCAUGCAUGAGUCCCUGGGUUCGAUUCCUCAGUACCA